AGGCUCAGGAGAAUGAGAAGCUUCAUGCAGGUCAAAAAGAACAACAAAGUGGCCCCACUCCAGCACAAGGAGGAGCCUGUGACACCAGUUGUGAAGCUCUUCAAGACUUUCCCAGAGCUUGAGAAGAAAAUAGCGCAACGAUACCGGUCACGUGUUAGACCAGCACCUGAAGAAGAAGACAUCAUUAUUGAAGACCUGGAAGAAGAUCCGUAAGAAGAUCUGUAGGCGGCACCAUAAAAAGGGGUUUCCUCUGUGAAAGAGCAACAAAAAAAGCAACAAAAUUGUGUUGCAACACUAGAAGAAAGGAAAAAGGAAAAAGAAGGGGGAGAACAACGAGCACUCUGACCUGCCAU